rnacentral:tRNA from 2 species
GGAGGGUUGGCCGAGCGGUUUAUGGCGCAGGUUUUGAAAACCUGUGGGCGCAAGUCCUCAGAGGUUCGAAUCCUCUACCCUCCG